GAGUUUUCCAACACCCAGCAUUCUCUGAGGCAGCGAGGCCGGAUACACAAAUGUCAGGGGAGAAGCAGAAAAUACCAGAAAAUCUGAAAUACAACCUAUACAUUCAUCAGUUACUUAAUCACUAAUAAAGAGAUUACAGAAAGAAAAGAAGGUCAACAGCGAAACAUUGGUUCAACCUUACCCUAAAAUUUGAAAAAUGAAGAGAACAAGCAACAGAGUUAAAGAAUUCACAAAGGCAGGAAGAGAAAAUCAGAACUGAAGAAAAUGGCUGAAAACAACUUUAAAGUUACGUGAAUUCAGCUGGAGAACUUCUGAAUAAAGAAAGAAACUGUAGUUCCCAGUGCCUUUGUGGAUGGAUCUUUGUGGAAACCCUUGGGAUUCACUUGUGUUGGGGUUUGUGUCCAUUUCUGGGUUAACUACUCUGACCAGAAUAGUGGAUGUCUGGCUGCUUGCUAGGUAUGUGUCACAUGCCUACCUGUAUGUUGGGCAGGAGCAGGAAAACUAAUGAGUAACCACAUAAACUAGUACCUAUUAACAGCGAAGAGACAAGCUUCAAAGCAAAAGGAGUACUGUGGCCAGAAGAAUGGAAAGAGGAACAGUGUGCAGAUAAAAAGAGAAGCUAAGUCAACUUUCUGACGAGAUUCCAAUAAAUACUGAUGGGCCCCAACUUACAAUGGUUCAACC